GCUGUUGCCUAGCAGGGACACAACCAGCCAUCAAGUGGAGAAUGGCUGGGACUGCUGUCUGUGUGCAGGUGGAGCCUGGAAGAGUGGCAGUCUCGUUUCCGUCAUCUGAUGACUUCUUAUGUUCCUAACUAAUUGUGCUUGCUAAGCACACAGUGGUCUGAAUUAGUCUUUCUGCUUUGCAGCCCUCGUCAAGUUGGGCUGCAAAUCAGGGUGCCAGGAAGCCUACAUUAGCCUAGGCUCCCUCCCAUGUGGUGCUAUGCUAGCUAGCUACUAGGAUGGGUCACUCUGACGACAAAGAAAGGUGCUUGACUUCUCUUGGGAGGCGUGGAGUAACAUAAUUCUUGUUUGAAUUGAUCUGUCUCUUUGUCUUUCUCUCUCUCUCUCUCUCUCUCUCUCUCUCUCUCUCUCUCUCUCGUGUGUGUGUGUGUGCGCGUGUGCAUGUGAGUAAAAUUCAUCAAACCAAAGAACCUAAGAGAUAUCAUUGUGGACGUGGUUUUUAAUGAUUUGGGUGGGAGGAGAAAGAAAAAGAAAAAUGACAGCCUGUGGAGACAGCGACUUGAGAAAGCGGCACACUGAGGUUAUUGCCAAUUUGAAACACUGGGUUUGUGAAUCCAAGCCCUAAGGGAGUAGCCGGGUAACUGAGGAAGAGAUCGUAGAUAAAGAAAUAAAAAUGACAAGCGUAAUGGAGGUUCCGCGAAGGGACUGUCGGAGCGUCAGUUCACGGAUGGCAAUCUCACCAGGCAGAGACUGAAUAAUUCAUAGACAGAAACUACCCUGCCUUCACCUUCCCAUUUAAACCGGGCAUGAGCUGAAUCCCUAAUAAAUUUCCAAGAUAAAGUAAAAUGCCAAUUUGAAUCUGAAGAGCUGUUAAAAGCAGAUGUGGCAUCCCCGAGUCUUUUGGUAUCUUUUCACAGGGAUGCUCGGAGGACGGCACUUCAUCAGGAAGCACCAUCACCAGGGAGAAUGCCUGUGAUUACAAUAGCAACAAUAGAAUGCCGUUGGAUGGUCUCUAAUUUACCUAAUUUGCUAAGACUGACUGGCUUAAACACCCGUUGUGUGUUGCCAUGCCCGGUCCGCCGAAUCUAAGACAGAACAAAAGUGGCAUGGUGUGUGAGCUACCUUGAUUCGCACAGCCUAGGGAAGAGCAUUCUCCUAGGUUACAAUGUCUCUGUCAUCAGCUUUUCUUUCUUUCUUUGCCUUUUUUUUCCUCUAAUGGUUAGCCCUAAGUGCUUUUUGAGGAGAAAUGGCAAGCCUGUAUUUGCUACAGAACAGCACUGACUUGCUAAUUUAUACACUUUAAAAAAAAAUUUAAAAUAUACAAGCAUGUGUCUAUUUGAAGGGAUGAGAGAUUCAGUGUUGGGAGAAAGGUUUAACAAGCCAACUGGGAUGGUGUGUGUGUGUGUGCAUGCGCGUGCACGUGUGUGUACGCACGUGCAUGUGCACGUCUCUCUCUGCGUGUGUGUGUGUGUGAGUGUUUCCUCCAUAUGAAAUUCUUUCCCAGGAUUUGUGAUCCCUGUGGAAUUUUAAGAACCUCUCCGAUUGCAGAUUUCAGGUAGCACAGCCAGCAGUCACUGCGCGAAGCUCUUCCAGAAAGCCUGUGUGCCUCCUUCCACGAUGUGUCCAGGCUUUUCGGCUGCGUGGCUGUGUUUGUGCCUGCUCGGUGGACAGAGUCUGUGCUAAAGAGAACUUUUUGUCUGGCAGACUGUACCAUUCAUCUCGGGGUGAUUGUGCCAUUCUGAGGAGGUGGCACAGAAUAUCCAUCCUCCCUGGGGAACAGCGGAAGCAUUUAGCAGAUGUGGGGGCUUCUGGAAUUGUCCUUCUAAUAGCGUGGAGACAGCACGUGACUCAUGCCAACCAGCAACACUUUUGCAUUUGACUAUUUCAGGGAGGGACCGAAGGAAUUGUACCUACAGCCCCUACCUACUAGAGUAUAAAAGACACGGUAUGACCCCUGCACCUGUACUCUCCUCCACCUGGGUCUGACAAACGCUGGCCUACAGCACAACCACAAGAAGCCUUUGCAGAUUCCUGAGAAGCCAGUUGGUGUGUAGCUGUUUUUGCAGACUGGAUUUUGCACUUGAUGCAGCCCCCAGUCCAGCACCUGAUGAACUGGAAAGACAAUGGUUAUCAUCAUCACACUGAAGAGGAAGCUCUGGAGCCAGUGUUUUGAGCUAUCUCACGAGACAAUCUCCCUUACCCACUGUUGACUGGUAUCCGGCAUGAAACAAUGAACUUGGAAGAUGAAAGGGUAAGGGAUACUCCAUGGGAGAACAGUCAUUCCUUCAUAAAAUACUACUUAGAGGAAUUUCCUCAAUUGGCUUUUCAGAAGAAAAUCCAAGGGAUAAGAAGACAAAAGAUUUAGGAAAUACAGGAAAGCGGUAUGCCUAAGACUAUGAAAGCAUUUUACAUCCACAAAGUUAUACCUAUGCGUUGCUAAUGUAGGGUGACAUAGGUACCACAAGGACUGACGUGAUGGAACCUGGAGCCAGACAACCUGGAUCUGAAUUCCGACUCCUGCUUCUUAUCUUUACGACCGCCUGUGGUUUGGAUGUGGUUUGCCAUAUUCAGAAGCAUAAAUUGAAACCUGGUGUUGGGGAGAUUGUGCCUUUCUUGUGAGACUAGAUUAGUGCUCACAGGAGAGGCUUAGGUGGGUGCUGAAAGAGCAAAGGGGCAGUCUUUGCGUGAUGCAGAUACAUGCUAGCACACUGCCCUUAGAUUUCCAGAACCGUGGGCCAAAUACACAGCGUUUCCUCAAGCAGUGCUCAACUCAGGUAGUCUGCACAGCAACAGAAAGACUAACCAAGUGCGGGUGGAACCCUCUUUGCUGCUCCAUGCCUUCCAGAGAUGCUCAUCACAGUGUCUUCCUCACAGGGAAGGAAGAAACACACCGGCCUCGGUGGAGCUUUAGAUCUGCACCCUGGAUGUCCUGGACCCAGAGAAAAUGCAACAGACUCUUGCUAUGCAAAGCAUGUUCCUGGGAGAGUGAGUGAUGGGAAGCACCGCCUACAGGAAGUCAUAGGCAGGACAGAGAUGAUGGAGGCUUGGCGCUUGCAGAGGGUCCAUGAUACUUGGAGAUAGGGAAAUCAGGUCUGGUUCCUCACAAGGCUGGGAUGGCAGAACUUUGGUUGGGAGACUGAGGAUGCCUGGUGAAGACCCUGCACCCCUGUGGAUCAAGCAGGUGUGAGACAAGCAGAGGGGAUGACGGUUACCAUAAGUGCAUAGACGCCAACCGGGAGCCAUCUUACCUAAAUCUGUAUAUGGGCUGUUUUCCACAACUCUGAGUAGAGGAAGAAAACUCAGGAGAAAGAAAAGACUAGGCACCAAACCUACACCUGCUCGUUUCCUUAGGAUAUGUUCAUGCAAACAAAAUGAACUCAAGAUUCCGAAUGACUUAAGGUUUUCUGCAGGCAACAUUCUAUUUGUAUUUUUCACAUCUAUGCUACAUCUAUUUAUCUCUGACAAAAUGUUAUUAGGGAAAGGCAGGAGAGCUGAAUUAACCGAGCUAAUUGAUCAUUAAGUAUAAUCGUCCAUUAAGUACAAAUUUCCAUUUAUAAUCUAUUUCAUCCCAGAGGAUUUCAAUUAUUAGAUUGCUGUAUUGAUAUGCUGAGGAGUAAUCAUUAAGUGUGUAAACAAACAAUAUAAAUUUCCACACGAGAAAGAGAAGAAUAUUGAUCAAUUAUGCAUAUUGUCAGAAAAUCAUCUAGAAGGGUGAAGACAGCACGAGACUAAAGAGAGGUGAGUCUCAUCUCAAAACCUAUCUGCCACCUCUUGGCGUCUUCUCAAUGGUUUCAGAACAUGACCCCAUGCUGUGCUCAAUGGUUCAGCCGUGUGUAUUCAAAAAAGUGACUUAACUCCUGUGAUUCUCCAAUGUCUCUUUCAUAAGCAACAGGUAAUGCUGAGACUCAUCUCGAAGGGUUUCUGGCAGAAAUAAAAGAAUUAAACUUGGAACCUUCUAGAAACAUUCUUGGUGUCCCAUGAGCCUAUGAACAUCUUCAGGAGCACGGAGCGCAAUGUCCAGCCUCUGGCCUCACUCUCCAGCAUCCCCUCUCCCUGUCCUCUCAGCUCCCAUGAUCUUGUUUUUCCUGCCUUUCCAGGCAUCUUUUCUGUCUGGAAUGAGGUCCUCAUGCCUUUCUUGUUGAACGCUUCUCCUGGAUAAGGAACAAGGAUUGCUAAUCCCCGCUUCUGUCUACUCCCUGCCUUGGCAGACCAGCGUUGGUAAGAAGAUAAUGGCCUUCUUUGCAAAACCCUUCAGUCUGAGCUGGACACAUCUCAGGGCCCCGUGCAAUAAUUAGCAGAGUAUCUUAGUGGCUCCAGCAUAAGAAAAAUCCCUGAGGUCAGGGAGCAUGCACAUUUAUCGUAUUUGCCGGUCCCUGUUCACUGUGGCUAUUUUAGGUACCCAGUCAUGGUUUCUGUCUGUUCUGUCUGGUUUCCCAACACUGGGGAUCACACCCAGGGAUGAUACAUGACAGACAAGCACUCACCACUGAGCUACCAGUCCAGACUCAACCAUCAUCUUUUGAACAACUUCAUUUGCCAUCAUAAUGUGGAUCAAGAGACAGGGUACUUUGUAUUAGUUUUGUUUCAAGUAUUCUGCCUACAUUUUAUUAGACGCACAUGGAGCAACCAAGCCAGAAGUAGUGACACUUUCACAGAUAUUCAUGAAUUAUAGUCUCAAAAAAGAUGCCAUGUGGUACCCAGGAUAGGUCCGUAACCAGGAUGGAGGCAGCAAGAUAUUGGGCAAAAAAAUGUGGCAUUCAAAAUGGGUCCCACCCAGCGUUGCAGAUGAGUUGUGUGACUUGCUUGCUAUCUCUUGGUCUCAUUUCUUAAUUUAAGAAAUGUAUUUAAGGUCUGGGGAGAUGGCUCAGUCAGUCAAAUGCUUACAGAGCAAGUGUGAGGAUCCGAGUUCGUUCUCAGAACGCAUGUGAAAAAUCUGGGCAGGGUAGAAUGUGACUGUAAUCUCACAACUGAAGCAGAGAUAGGGGGAUUCUGACCAGCCAGUGUAGCCUAUUUAAGAACUUCAAGACCAGUGACAGAUCCUGUCUUAAAAAAAAAAAGGUGGACAGAAGCCGGGCGGUGGUGGCGAACGCCUUCAAUCCCAGCACUCAGGAGGCAGAGGCAGGCGGAUCUCUGUGAGUUCGAGGCCAGCCUGGUUUACAAGAGCUAGUUCCGGGACAGGCACCAAAGCUACAGAGAAACCCUGUCUCGAAAAACCAAAAAAAAAAAAAGGUGGACAGAGCCUAAGGUAAAACAUCCUAAUUUGUCCUCUGGCUUUCAAAUGUAUUGUAACCUGAUAGUCAUUCCUCCCCUCACGCACACACAUGCAUAGACAUACAAAUAUAUAUAUAUACACACAUAUAUACACACACACAACUGUAGCUAGCUGCAGCUACCUUGUAAUGUGAGGAGGUGUCAUCGUAGCACAGAUUCCCAAUAUUCCAAUACUUAGAACAUCAGCUCCUAAGCAGAUGCUCAAUAAAAAUCUGUUGGCGCUAUGAAAUGAGCUGAAGAUUAUUGGUGGUGUAUGUCACAAGGUUGCUAGCUGUCAAAACUCCAUAGAAGCAGCGGAUGCUGUUGUGUUUUGCUCAGUAAAUUUAGAAGUGCAGAAAGAAAAAAUGAGAUGGAGUUUGGCUCGGCAGGUAAAGGCGCUUGUCUUUAAACCCGAUGACCUGACUCCCAUUUCUAGAACCUACAUGAUGGAAGGAGAGAAGCAAUUCCAGCUGGGGAGUUCUGCAUGUUGUGCUCUGCCUCCUCAUUCAUUCAUUCAUUCAUUCAUUCAUUCAUUCAUUCUCUCUCUCUCAUACACACACACACACUAAUUUUUUUGUUUGGCUUUUUGAGACAGGGUUUCUCUGUGUAACAGCUCUGGCUGUCCUGGAACUAGCUUUUGUAGACCAGGAUGGCCUCAGACUCACAGAGAUCUGAAUAAACGUAGUUUUUAAAAAUUGGAAAAAGUUACUUUAAAAAAAAGCAGGAGAUGGGCAGCGACUGAGAGGUGAUAGCAUACACCUUUAAUCUCAGCACUCAGGAGGCAGAGGCAGGUGGAUCUCUGAGUUUGAGACUAGCCUGGUCUACAUUACAAGUUCCAGGAUAGCCAGGGCUUUACAGAGAAACUCUCUCAAUAAACAAGCUAACAAGAACAACAACAAAAAACCUAAAACAAAUAAAAUUCAAAACCCGAAAAGGGCUGGCAAGAUGGCCCAGUGGGUAAAGGUACCUGCGGCCAAGCCUGAGAACUGGAGUUUGAUCACUGGGACCAUACGAUGGAAAGAAUUGACUCCUGUAGGUUAUGAGUGCUGUCAUAAUACAUACAUGUACACACACAGCACAUGGACGUCAUAGCACAUGCUACACACACAAAUAAAUAAAUGUAAUUAAAAUUUAAAAAAUAAGUAUAUGAAAGAAUUUAUUUGUUAUUAAGAAAAAAGUCCCAUGUCACAUAAGAUUGUAGGGGAAGAAGGUGUAAUUAGACUAGCUUUAAACAUGAGGUAGAUGCCUUAAAAUCCCUGCACUCGGGAGGCAGAGGCAGGCAGAUCUCCAUGAGUUCGAGGCCAGCCUGGUCUACAAAAGUUAGUUCCCGGACAGACUUCAAAGCUACAGAGAAACCCUGUCUCAAAACACCAAAAAUAAAAUAAAAUAAAAUGAUGUAUUGGUCAUUUCUACUCUCUAGCUAACAUAUCCAGGCUGGCCUGGACCUGUGGAGGGCUGGUGUAGCUCAGGUCGCUGAUGCACGACCUGGCACCACAUUGCAAACCUAAUGGGAAUUCAUCCUGCUGCACUGUCUCUCUCCUACUGCCCGGGGCAUGGAGCCAAACCUAUGCGGCAAUGGGAGCAAAAAUAAACCAGGCGAUCUCCACACACGCACCAAGGCUUUGCAAAUGUGUAUACAGAAAUAAGCACAACCUAUAAUCUUGUAGAAUACUAUACCUAAUGAAGUUUUGUGACUGUGUUGUAAAAUGCCCACAGCACAUUCAAAUGAUUCUGUCACAUCUACCUGAUAGGAUGUUAGAUCAGUUUUCAGAUAAAUGGUCCAUAUGCAUUCUGGUAAAGUGAAGCAAUGUUGAGUUUCUGAUAUCUUGCUUGUACCUCAUUUAUUGAGUCUUUUUUCUUGACAUACCCGGAAUCAACUGUGAACAAGAGGUACACCAUUAUUCCUAGAACUGAGGAGACAAAUAGACCUUGGAAGUUUUCCAGUGAAGACUGAGGUGGGGCAUGGCCAGCAAUUCCUCUCUCUCUCUCUCUCUCUCUCUCUCUCUUUGUGUGUGUGUGUGUAUACAUAGAUUUUUUUUUGAGACAGGUGUCAGGUUUCCUACUCUUGAACUUACUAUGUAGUUGAAUGUGACCUUACAGGCACACACUGCCAUGCUCAUACGGAGAUGGGGAUGAAACACAAGGCUUUGUGUACACUAAAAAAAAUUUCAGCAAAUGAAAUACAUUCCUAGCCCAUAAUCCUAUAUUUUUAUUUUCAUCUAUCUAUCUAUCUAUCUAUCUAUCUAUCUAUCUAUCUAUCUAUCUAUCUGUUGUGUUUUGUAUGUGUAUAUGGUGUACAUGUCAUGACAUGUGUAGACAUCAGAGAACAAUUAGUAGAAAUUUGUUCUCUCCUUCUACUAUGUGGGUCCCAGGGUUGGCAGUUAGCACACGUACAUGCUAAGCCAUCUCACUGGCCCCAUCCUUUGUUUGUUUUUAUACAGUGUGGUACUUUAAGGGGGUCACAAAUGUGUAGUUUUGAGUUAGUGAGUUGAAUGAUGAUCAUAUACCUAAUGAAAUCACUGGAUAGUCUUCAGGCUUCAGGCAACGGAGCCUCUAAGUCUCUAAGACACAGAGGCUAUUUCUCUACUCAAAUCUCUUCAGAUUCAGAAAAACGAGUAGCCUGGCUUGUGUCUUUGGGAUUGUUUUCAUAUAGUCCAAUGAAAGGACUAUUCUAAAUAAUACAUGGAACUUGGUUGGCUGAUUCUGUGGCAAAUAACCACUGACUAUCCUGACAGUGGAUCCUAAUUGCUUUUUUCUUUCCUGCCUCUACUACAGGUGCUGGAAAUGUAAGUCUCCAUGUCCCCUCUUCCUUAGUACCUGAAAGUGAAGACAAGAAUACUCAUUGUUCACUAGCUACCAAGGGUGAUAGGGGGCAGGGCUGUGGGUUCUCGUGAGGGAAGAUGACUACCCUAUGUGGCGGUACUACUUUAUCUUUCUUCUCUCAAGUGCAGAUGAGGUACCUGGAGUAGUGGUCCCAGUGUCCAAUCACAAAGAAAAGACAAGAUCACCCAAGGCCAUCAGUUCCCAUUUUUUAUUGUUGUUAUUGCAUGUGCAUGUGGCAUAUGUGCAUGUGUGUAUUGUGCUCAUACAUUUUGAGUACAUAUUGUGUGUGGGUGUGUGUGUAAGCCAGAGGUAGCUCCAGCUAUCCCAUCUCCACCUCCCUAGGGCAGGGACUACUGGCAGGCCACUAUGCCUGCCUGACAUUAACAUGGGUGCUAAAUAUUUGAACUCUAGUUUGCACACUUGUGAGACAAUCACUUUUCCUAUUGAACCAUUUCCCCAACUUCCAUGAGCCCUAAAUUUUGAGUCCUUGAACCCCUACUGGUAGCUACUAGCCUCUAAACUCCUGAGAGAAAUUGCCCCCUACCCUGUUAGACCACCCUUGGGUUUUAUAUUGUUUGAAGUUGACAUCAAAGUAUCUUGAGUUCGCCUAAAGAUUUCAUGUGACAGCAAAUAUAUAAAUUCAAUUAACUGCAGCAAAUAGGUCACUGUUCUAUUUUGUAAGGUUCUUCCAAUGGCAGUGAUGUCAGGUACUUGAGGACACCGGUUCCUUUGUUGCCUUUCUCUGCUAAUUCUUUGUCAGCCUCUUCUACAUCCUAUCCAUAAAUCUCUAGGUCUAUUUUUCUCUUCUUCUAAUUAUUAUUACUAUUAUUAUCAUUAUCAUUAUUAUUAUUAAUCUCCUGGAGCCCAACCUGGCUUCAACCUGACUAUUUAAUUGAGGAUGACCUUGAACUUCCAAUCCUGCCUCAUCCUCCAGAAGUCUGGGACUACAGGUAUGUGUCACCAUGCCUAGUUUUAUGCGCUGUUGAAGAUCAAAUCCAGAACCUUACAAAUGCUACUCAAGAGAUCUACCAACUGAGUCCCAGCUCUUAGGUCUGCUUUAUUCUUAAAGACACACUUAAAAUCCAUCACUUUUUCUGUAAGCUGCACCCUGCCUACACCACGGUUCUCCAGAAGAACACUUCUCUGUGCGGUCACUACUUAGACUUUCUCAUGACUUUUCCACUAUGGUUGCUUUAUCCCACUGUCUCUGUCAAUGUACUGACAUCUCAGUUUCUAUGUGUGCGGGGGUGGGGGAAAGACAGUGAUAACAUUGUUUUUCUUGGUUUGAUAUUAGCUUGAGAGAUGGUGGUCACUGGAUUCUCCUGUCUUAAGUUCUUCACAGAACAAAUUAUUGUGUUACAGUGGAAGUAACCUGCGCCUACAUGACAGUGACCCUGCAGAAAGGGAGCGAGGAACACCGGAUGGGACAGAGACGCUGUAUUAGUAGUCUCUGGCCACUUUGUAAAUGUUCUACAGCUUGACUAGGCUAUUCCAGGUGCACAUGGACCUUCUAUGAAUAAGGAGCUGUUUCUACCAAGUUCUGCAAAAAUUCAUUUAAAAAAAUUCAUUUAAACACAAGUCAGUUAUGAGUGCUUAUUGCUUUUUAAGAGAGUUCAGUUCCCAAUACUCAUGUUGCAUACCUUCAACUCCUGGAGACCUAAUGCCUCCUCAGGUACAGACACACAUACACACACACACACACACCAAACAAUUAAACUCAAUUUCUCUUAGCAAGCAAAAUUAUCCUUGAAAAUACGUACUUAAGCCAGACAGUAAAAUCAUGUCUGUUUUCCCAGUUCUCAGGAGGGGAGGCAGAAGGACUGCCUGUGAUGAUUCUGAGUUACAUAAGGAGUUCCAGGCCAGCCUAGGCUACAAUGUAAGACUUUGUCUUCCACUCAUACACAACCCCCACCUAAGAAAGAAAUCAAAUAACUGCUACAUAAAGGAGAUGGUUGACUUUUGUUUGCUCUAAGGUCAGUUCAGAGUCUUCCUUGAAAAAAUAAUGGCCACUUUGGGAGGGAGCUAUCUCAGAAAGCUCAUGUCUGCAAGAGACUAGGGGGAAGAUGAAGGAUGCUGGGGUCAUGCGAAGAGCAUGGAAGCCCUCACGGAUGGCUUAACCUGCCCAAAAUGAGGCCAAUUUGAACACUGUGUUAUAUUAUUUUACAAACAGUUUAGCCCAACCAAUAAAGCGGGGAUGCAAGAAUCUUUACAUAGGAUAAACAAACUAAGAAAUCUGAGUCAUCAAGUAUAUGACUCCUCCAUAUACUUAAGCCACAGAGGAGGUGUGCUGGCUGCAUUUAUGUCAAAUGACAGCACCUGUAGACAUCAGGAGGCGGAAACAUCAAUUGAGAAAAAGGCCUCCAUAAAACUGGGCUGUGGGCCAGUCUGUAGUGCAUCUUCUUAACUAGCAAUUGAUGGGGGAGGACUCAGUCUAUUGUCCUUGGAGCCAUCCCUGGGCUGGUGGUGCUGAGUUCUAUAAGAAAGCAGACUGAGCAAGAUACCUAGGGCAAGCCAAUAAGCAGCACCCCUCCAUGGCCUCUGCAUCAGCUCCUGC